rnacentral:rRNA from 1 species
UGCAGUCGAGCGGUAACAGGCGUAGCAAUACGUGCUGACGAGCGGCGAACGGGUGAGCAAUACUUCGGAAUCUGCCUUGUAGUGGGGACUAACCAGCCGAAAGGUUGGCUAAUGCCGCAUACGCCCUUCGGGGGAAAGCGGGGGAUCGCAAGACCUCGCGCUAUUGGAUGAGCCGAAGCCGGAUUAGCUAGUUGGUAGGGUAACGGCCUACCAAGGCGACGAUCCGUAGCUGGUCUGAGAGGACGACCAGCCACACUGGGACUGAGACACGGCCCAGACUCCUACGGGAGGCAGCAGUGGGGAAUAUUGGACAAUGGGGGCAACCCUGAUCCAGCGACGCCGCGUGUGUGAAGAAGGCCUGCGGGUUGUAAAGCACUUUUAGUGGGGAUGAAAAGCUCAGGGCUAAUACCUCUGGGUCUUGACCUAACCCAAAGAAAAAGCACCGGCUAACUCUGUGCCAGCAGCCGCGGUAAUACGAGGGUGCGAGCGUUAAUCGGAAUUACUGGGCGUAAAGCGUGCGUAGACGGUUAUCUAAUCGGGUGUGAAAUCCCCGGGCUCAGCCUGGAAUUGCUUCAGACUGAAUAGCUAGGGUGCGGAGAGAACGGAAUUUCGUGUCGGUGAUGCUAAUGCGAAGAACUC